rnacentral:rRNA from 1 species
GAUGAACGCUGGCGGCGUGCCUAAUACAUGCAAGUCGAGCGAACAGAUGAGGAGCUUGCUCCUCUGACGUUAGCGGCGGACGGGUGAGUAACACGUGGAUAACCUACCUAUAAGACUGGGAUAACUUCGGGAAACCGGAGCUAAUACCGGAUAAUAUAUUGAACCGCAUGGUUCAAUAGUGAAAGACGGUUUUGCUGUCACUUAUAGAUGGAUCCGCGCCGCAUUAGCUAGUUGGUAAGGUAACGGCUUACCAAGGCAACGAUGCGUAGCCGACCUGAGAGGGUGGUCGGCCACCGUGGAACGGAGACCGGGGCCGGACUCCUAGGGGGGGCAGAAGGGGGAAAUCUGCCGCAGGGGGGAAAAGCGUGACGGGGAAACGCCGCGGGGGGAAUGAAGGUUGGGGGAGGGAAAACCUCUUUUUGUGGGGAAAAAAAAAUGUGUAAGAAACUAGGCACGUUGGGACGGUACCUAAACAAAAAGCCACGGCAAACUACG